GCCUGCGCGGUGCACCUGGGAGGUUGCAGGUGAGCCCGGGAUGGGGAGGGAGUUAGGGAUUCCAGGUAGGUUGCUGCAAAAGGAGAAAGCCCAGGAGGGAUGGAUCAGGGGCCUGAGGCUUUGAAUCGAGUGUUUCUCUUUGGGGCAGGGCCUUGUGUGUUGUAGAACUUGACAACUGUGACCGCUCCUUCUUCCAGCCGCGCUCUGCUUGGGGCUGUGAAGUACCGGGGCAGGCGGCUGCAUCAUAACCUGCAGUGUGUAUCCGGUGACCAUGGGGAGGAAGAGGGCUGUGGGGAGAAGGGAGAGUGCUGUGAGGAGUGUGCAGGUGUCCACGGGCAGGGGAUGCUUGCUUCGCGAUUCUUCUCCGUAUUGCAUCCGAAGGCUGUUGUCUCUUUGGCCUGACUUUUCUCCUCUGCCUUGCCCGCAGAGGCUCCAGGGUUCCGUGGCUCUGAGCAGGCUUCCUCUAAGUGACUCUGCAACUGGGCUUUCUGCAGAGCAAGGCGCCUGGUUGGGUUUUUUCUCACCGCAGGGGGAGCAGGCUCCAUCUCUCAGCCCGAGUUGGUGAUUUAGUGACCCGGCCGACCUGGGUGACUGUGAGAAGGUCUGAGUGCAGUCAGACACAGGAGCAGGUGACAGGUGCUCAGAGCGGGGACGGGGGCCUCUGCCGGGUCCCUCGCUUCCAGGCCCCCUCUCCGGCGGAGGUCCCAGACCCCUAUGCUUGGCCCCCCGGGUGAGGCAGGAGUCUCAGGAGGGGAGAUGACAGCCUUCACCCUAACAGGGUCAGAGCCCAUCAAAGCAGCUCGAUGGAGACGUAGACUUCCUCGGGGUUGCUGCUUCCACCGCUGGGCGCCAUCACGGCUGAUGUAAAACCCUCUACAAUUCACGAACUGGGCCUGUGUUUGCUUAGACCAGGAAGCGUUAUAUGGUGGAUGGGGAAUUCAUGAAGCUUUUUAUUUGGUCUUUGACAAUUCAGUUGGUGGCAUCCUGGUGAUUAGAUUUUUCCCUGGCCGCAGCCCCGUGGCGGUGGUGUCGGUUUUUCCAUGGUGCUGUGUGCGCUUAUUGAGAGUGACUGAGCAGGUGACAGGACCUUUUAAAAUGAUGGCAUUUGUCAUUCUGCCACACAGGAGGGGGAGGGAGGGACGGCGGUGUCCACAUCAUUUCCGAAGGCCACGCUUGCUCCCUUUGCCUCUCAGCUGUCUGACAACACGCGUCCUGCCCCUCCCUCCCACUGCAACACUUCCAGUAGCUGCUCACCCAGAGUCGGAGGAAUGUGAUUCUGACUCCCCGGUGCUUUCAGGUGCCCCUGGAAGGGACACACGACAGCAGAGGGACACCUCUGGCCUGCUGUGGGGAGAAAAACAGGGCACGUUGAUGGCUAUCAGCGUUAAACUGGGAUCAUCUCAGGAGAUCAAUGGGAACCUCGCUGGCCAGCUGCCCGUUACUUUUUAUUAUUAGUAUAACAGCAUAUGGGUGUCUACUAUGUGUCAGCAGUGUGCUAAGCACGUUGCAUAUAUUAUAUCUUUAAGUCUUCACAGAACAGCCCUGCAAGGUAAGAAAAAGUCUGUACCCUUUAAACACGCAGAAGCAAGGCUCAGAGAGGGUAAGUACAUUUUCUGUCAUCACACAGCUGAUAAGAGGCACGGCUGGUUUUCAGAUAACAGUCUGGCUGCCUCCAGUGUCCUUACUGCUUUCAUUCAGCCAGCCAACUUGAUCCCACGCCUUCAGGAACCCUAGACAGAAGUCAGACUUCAGGGCUGUAACUUUUUUAUUAUGGCCUCUGGGUGUGAUGUUCUGUCCUGGUCAUUUUGCGAGUCAAGACAGCAUCAGGCCAGGGAGUACAGCCUGCUGUGCUCUGUGCUAGGCACACAGCGUGUUAUGAACAAAACACUUCCUUAUGGCAGAUACUGCCUUAGAAAUGAGUGGUUGCUCAGAGCCAGAAUCCGUGUUUUACUGCCACUGACGAAGCUGCUGUCUUCCUUUGGCAUUCGUUCAAGAAGCGAGUCUGACACCAAGGGGCAGUCGGUCUUGACCUCAAACUUACUUUCUUGGAGAUGGGGACAGGCUGAGCAUGGCGAGGAAGCGCAGGCUGCCUGCGCUGGGGAUGGCCAUGCUCCCCUGGACCAUGAGCCCCUAGCCUCCACCCUGGGCCAGAAACGAGCUUGCUUCCCCUUCCCUGCGCAUCAGAAGGCCUGUGGGAGCACGACCAAAUGGACAAGAAAGGGACCCUGAGCAGUGACUUCCCUGAGUUCAGAGGAGUAAUAGGAAGGCAGCCUUUCUCUCCCCUUCCACCCCAGUGCUGCAGCUCCGUGCCGGAUCAGGCUGCUUUGACUCUGACCUGAGUUGGCAGUCGGCACCAUUACCAGGCUCGUUGCUUGGCUAUACAUAGCAGGUGCUUGGCAAAAUGCUUUUUAAUGGAUGGGUCAGUGUAAAUGGGGCGCCUUCUCCAUUUGCUCGGCCUGAUGCUGUUUUCGGUCCCCUCUAGACCUGCCCUCUCUCGGGGCUGGAUCCAGGAUUUGAGCCUGCAGCCCCUGCAGCCCCUGGAGCCCCCUUGGCCCUUGUGUUCUGCCCUUGCCUGGGCCCUUCGGAGAGAAGCGAGUGGCUUCUACUUGCUGUCUGAUCCAUCACCAGGCGUAACCUGCAGGACUGUGGGAAUCUUCCAGCCUUUACUGGAGGUCUUGCUGGCCUGACCCUGCAAACCUUUCCCUCUCCCCUGGCUGGUUUCUGUUCUGACCGCAUCACUGGCUGGUUGGAGACUUGUUCUACCGUUGCAGAAAGCCUUCUUUCUUUCUUACUGUUACACUGGCAUUUGAGACACGGUCCAGCUGCCUCCAGCAGCUCCCCACAGACCCCCACCUCUUCCUCUCCGCAGACCCUCCCUGCCCUGCACUUUCCCUGAAUUCCCACUUCUGGUGCGCAGAGAGGUUGCCCUCUGCUCAUUGUAGAGCAAGACUGGCCGGCCGGCCGAGAGCCCAUGUGCCCCGUGAAGGCAUUUGCUCUUCCCGGCUCUGGUUGCCAUCUCUGCUUUCCCGGCACCUUGCUGAUGAGUUACUCAGGUAUCCUCCAGCGAGGGAUCUCCCAGAGCCAAUUAUUACCGUUUAUUUAAUAUCUCAAAAUACCUUAAGCACGGAAGAGCGGUAGCAGCCCGACCGCUGUCAGGGCUGGAUGAUGGCUUUCCCGCAUGUUCUCCGACGCUGGUGGGCCCCGUGCUUCCCACCCAGGUUUCCCGGGUGCCCCGUUGACAAUUGUGUUCCCAACUGCACCAUUCAGGAUUAAUUUCUGUGCUUGUAAUUGAUACUAUAAAUAAAAUAAAUCCGCAAUUAUCUCAGUUAACAGAGGGAAGGGCUAACACAGAAACUUCCAGUAUUAAGUAACACCAACGGAACUGUAUGGAGAUGUGUUCUAUGAUGUAAACGACUCGAAGCAGACUUUCCUGUGUGGUUUUCCUUGGGAUCACAGUGGGCCCCGACUGCAUAAGUCGGGCUGGGGAGGAAGCUCCGGUGGGGGCGUGGGAAGCAUGAGUGAGGAGAGCCUUAGGAGCCCGUGGCCAAGGAGCGCCAGCUGCGAUGUGGAUGCCCCUUGGUCCUCUGGGCUUGGGGAAGUCACAGGGCAGUGCCAGCUGCUGCCCUGUCGGCUCAGUGACAGAGUUGAGACCAGCAGCCCAAGUGUCACCUCGUGCUCUGAGAUGAGAGAGUUUGACAGUGCCCCAAAUCACUUUCAACAAAAACAGAAUCUAUUUUCCCUUCUUCCAAGCACGAAGCAGCCUCCAGGUGAUUUGCAUUUCCCUUUAAAAUAUAAUCCUGGAAGGGCCUGCCUGAGGUUCCAGGAGGCCUGGAGCCUGGCCUGCGAGAUCAAUACAGGCAGCCACAGAAUGGGGCAUUGGGGCUCCCCCCAGGGCCCCAGCCUGGUUUUUGUUAACCCUUCAGUUCCCAAAGUCUCUGCCCUCAUCCACUGCCUCCAGGACUCAUCAGCUCCCCUCCCAACACCCAAGUAUCUUGUCCUGAGACAUUGGCCAGCAGUUCCUCCUGCAUGGUGGGUCUCCUGCCCACGGGACUCUGAUCGUGGGAUACUUAACUGGGAACAAGUGACAUCCAAGUUUUUUCUUUGUGGACAUUUCCUAACUGACAAUUCUCUGAUGCCAAAAUUCCCGAGAGAGGAUGCAGACCUGUGUUCCUUUGUUUGUUCAACAUUUACUGAGUGCCUACUGUGUGCCUGGCAGUGCAGAAGGCUCUGUGGGUCCACAGACACUGUGAUCACACAUCAGCCCAACAUAAGGCACCUGCUCAGUUCUUCUCUUUUGAACCGGAGCACGCUUCCCACUGUUCCUGAGAACACCCCCUGCCCCACAUAAUCUCAUCCAGGAACUGGGUACCCCCUCCUGCCUCCCAUCACAGCCCUUGCAUUCCUCUUUCUUGCCAUUGCCACAUCUUGUUAGCCUGAGCUGCUUGUGGUUCUCUCCUGCAGGUUGUGAGCCCUCUGAUGGCAGAUCUCCAAUCCAGAGAUCAUUGCACGUUUCAUGCCUAGCCCAGGGCUGGGCUGUGGUGGGCCUCAGUAAACAUUCAUCCAGCCACUCGGCUUGGUUGGCACCCUGGCUUCCCCAGCUUCAGUUAUAGCCACACUGUCAUGUCGGAGGGCAUUUGUGGGCAGGGAAGGAGUAAGGAGGCCAAGCAGGGUGUGUGGCAGUUCUGACUUCAGCUGUAGCAGGCUGGGGGCCUCUUCUCUUCUCCUCUCUUCUUUUUUUUAAGAUUAUUUAUUUGAGAGGCAGAGUUACAGAGAGAGAGAGAGGAAGAGUCAGAGACAGGUCUUCCAUCCACUGGUUCAUUCCCCAAAUGGCUGCAACGGCCAGAGCUGGGCUGAUCCGAAGCCAGGAGCCAGGAGCUUCUUCCAGGUCUCCAACGUGGGUGCAGGGACCCAAGCACUUGGGCCAUCUUCUGCUGUUUUCCCAGGCCACAGCAGAGAGCUGGAUUGGAAGAGGAGUAGCCGGGACUCGAACUAGUGCCCAUAUGGGAAGCUGGCACUGCAGGCGGAAGCUUAGCCCACUGUGCCACUGUGCUGGCCCCAUGGGGGCUUUCUUGCGGAGGAUCUUUGUCACUGCUUUUGGCUAUUUGACCAUGCGGCUCCCCUCCCCAUGACGCUCCCCUUCAUUCAGCAGAUAGCUGCUGAGUCCCCAGUAGGCGUUGGGACUACAGGGCUGAAGAAAGCACUCUCUGAUCUUGUGGAGCUUUUGCCCUGGUGGAUGGGACCAGACAGUGAACAGAUCAACAAGCAGGUGCAUCAAGCCAGACUACAGAGAACAGUGAAGCCUAAUGUGACAGAUAGGGAGUGCUGAGUGUGGGGGCCGAGCGGACCAAGGGACACCAAGCGCACGGGGAGGGCCUCUUAGAACAGGUGGAAUUUGGGCAGAGUCCUGAGGGAAACUGGUGAGCUUGGGGGAACAGCGUUCCAGGAAGAGAACACACAGAGGCCUUCAGGCAGCAGGGCCUGGGGGUACUGUUCUGGGAACAGCAAGAGUCCCAGUGAUUGAGCCCCGUGAGCGGGGGCAGAGGAGAACUGGGAGGCCAGAGAGGUAACGGAGGGAGCCACUCAUGCAGACUCUGCCGUAGGAAGGGUUUUAGGGCUCCGGAGCUGUCCAAGGAGCACCUAGCUGCUGGGUAGUAUCCGUGUUACUCACGGGAGCUGAGGGUGGCGGCAGGGGAGGUGGGAGAAGGGUGAGACUCUGCACAUACUGGAGGGUUGGGGUGUCAGGAGCUUUCCCAGGAAGCUCUGGCUGGUCCUGCUCCCGCCCAGCAGGCUGAGAACUUCCGUGGCUCCGCCAGCAGCAGGGCACGGCAUUGAAGGCACAGCCAGGAGGGCCUUCUCCACCAGGCACUGGGAGAGGCUUCCAGGCAGCCGAGAGCUCACUGAGCAGUGAGCGAGCCCAGAGAGCCUGAGCUGCAGCACGGGCACCUCACAGAAGGCCUGGCGCUGGGAGCUGGGAGCAGACGAGGAGCACCGCACCUGCCUGGAACUUGCCUUUCACCGCAGGCACCGAGAUGGGCACCUGGCGAGGGGUGGGGCUUGUGCUCACUGCCAUGAGCGGGACCCAGGCGCCACGCUAACCGUCUGACACAGGGGUGGACAGGGCUUCUGGGCUGCGGGGGAGGGGAAGAGGAACUCCCACAGUGUGUAUGUGUGUGUGUGGAUGUGGGAGCGUGAGCCUUCUGGGGGCUUCACACCGGGACCCUCACGUUGGCUGUGUCUUCCCAUCCGGCAGUGAGUUCCAACGGCUGCAACUUCUGGAAGGAGAUGUUGAGAGCGGCACCCGCUUCCCCACUCUCUUCUGGAAUCUCUCAAAGUCAAUCUCAGUGCUCCCCACCCAGCCCCAGCUCUCUCCUUUUGUGGGCUUUUGUUUGGGUUUCCCUCUGGAAACACACCAGUAAACACAGAGUUCUUCCCCAGGAGCAGCAAUUGUUCUGCCUCACCUUGGUGUAAACAGAAGGCAGGAGAGGAGGAGCCCCAGCCCCUCCGUCUCCCUCACCUGCCCCAGGGCUCUGGCCCCUGCUCCAUCCUGGCUGGGAGCUCUUCCUGGCCAGGGAGAGGAGCAGAGCCUCUCUCUCCGCCUGUGCCCGUCCUGGGGCAGGCGGACCUGCACACAGCUGACCUCCUCCCGGAAGCUGAUGCCCUACGUGUUCCUCCCACCUGUCUCUGGCGAUGUCCAGGGCACUUUUGCUUUUCUGGGAAGUGGGGACUGGGUCUCCGCCAGUCGCUUUCGGAAGCAGUGUACAGGAUUGACUUCAACCCAGCUUUCUAACAGGAACCUGGGCGUGACAAGGACGAAGGAGUUCCCACUGUGCUUUUAGGCAUCCUAAGUUCUCUGCGCAGAGCCUCAGCCCUCACGGCCUCCAGGUUGUGUCCAGCCUGCUUUUCUCCCUACCUCCACCUGCCUCUGCUGGGCCCCAUGAGAAUGAGGGGGGUUUGGCAAGGUGGGGGACUGGGGAGAGAGGACAGCUCAGUCGUUGCCGACCACGGCUGCCUGGAAGAAGAUUGCAUUUAGCUCGUGUAAUCGUAUUCCGGGUGUCAGGACUCGAAUGAGUGUCAUUAAACAGAAUCAGAAAAAUCGUUUUAAUAUAAGUGCCACCUCACACUCAGGCUAGUUGAUGGAGAGAUGGAUGAGGCUGGAGACGCCUCCUUUGUAAUGUGAUGCUGUAAAACCCCAUCACCUUCAUUAUUUCCUACCGAGCCAGCGCAUCAUAAUACCCGUGAGCGGCAGAACAGCUUGAAUUUAAUAUACAGAAAGUCCAAUCAAACAAUAAAUGGAUGGAACUAUAUAAAGAAACCAUUUUCUGGGAGGCUGGCUCCAUUCUCUGGGAUUCAGCUCCCUGACACAUGAAAUGUGCAUCAAUUUUCCCCAACUAAUGCAGCUGCCGAAUCUCCAUGUGUGAUAUUUGUUUGCUUCCGAAGUGGGAAAGGGGAGCUUCUUCCCCCUCCCCCCUACAUUAUCUGGCUAUCAGUGCAAAGUUGCAAAUCUCAUUUCCUUUGAUUUGCAUCCAGUGGCUCUGGGUGACACAGCAGGGCAGCCUCAAAUGCCAGGACUAGAGGCAGGGCCCGCCUGCCCGACCGCCCUCCCUCCCUCCCUCCGUUCCAGAACCUCAGCGGUUUCGGCAGCACUUUGUCGUCCUCUUUAAGGGAAUCAAGUGCUGGCCACCAGAGCGGGUUGGGUAGGGGGUCUGGAAGUCUACCAUUGGCAGUCCCUGGAGCGGGAAGGCCACACCAUAGGGCUGGCUGCCGUACCCCGCCCCCCCGCCCGCAACCCCGUGCCUGUGAGGUUGUGAUGGUGCAGAAGCUUCAUCCCGCAUUGGGUUCCUCCCGCCAGUGAAGUCACCCCUUCCCCUUCCGUCCCCAUGCUCAGCCUGCUAUUGAGACGUGGUGAACCCAGACACCAGCUGAUCAGCCAAACAAUUAAAAAGGCAAAUGCUUAAAAAUGGCACAUGUCAAAGGCUCCUGGAGGUACUGUUUUUCUGCUUCUGAUGUGGGACUGUUUCCUGUGCUAUUUUUCCAGUGCCGUGGAUAACUGAGAGUUAAGCAUAAUUACAGGCUUAUAGCUGCUGAGAAGUAUCAUUGGUUUAUUUUUACUUCUUUCUGGACAUGCUUACUUAGAAAAAGAUAGGAGAGUUAAACUGAACAAGAUAAAAAAACCAUGGCCAGCAUACAUCUUGAUUCAAUUCAGCAAACACGGAACACCCAGCAUUUGCAAGGAACAUUAUUAGACAAUGUGGAGGAUAUAGAAACAAAUAAGGUACUAGCCAGGUCCCUAAGAAGUUUGCAAUAUAGUGAGUGAGCAGAGUAUGGUCAUGAGAGUGGAUGAGAGAGAACGGGGCAUUCGCCGAAAUGGUCAGGAGGUGCUGAUACAGCCUAAAUGCUUAAUAAAUAUUUGCUGCUGGAUGCAUGACGAGGUGACAUUUCGGCUAGACCAGCAACGGCAAGUAGGAUUUUAAUAUGUGAAAAUGGGAAGUCCAAGUAAAUGGCAAAAGGGCAUGGUGUUUAGGGAGCUUAACUAAUAUGCUGGUUUUCUAGUGUUUAGGGUUUAUGAAGACAAAAAUAGCUCUAGAUGAGCAGGAAUAAAACAUUUGCUACAGAUGUACAAGGUCUAAAAUAUUAGGCUAAAGAAUUUGUUUGGUAGGCACGAGGGAGCCUGAUGCAUUGAUUAGGCAGAUUUAUUUGGCAUCUGUCUAAUGCAUGAAUGUUAGAAGGGAGCCCUUGGACACAGGGUAGUUGGCCAGAAGAUGGAUCCAAGUAAAAGGUAAAGAAGGCCUGACCUGGGAUGGUGGCAGUGGAAAAGGAGAGGAAGGAGUGGAGUGGAGAGAGCAACAAGAGGCGGCGGAGUCAGAAGCAUGCAGGAGUGAUCAGCCUGGGUGAUUAGAGGUAUGGAGUUGGCAAACACUUGAGGAGGAACAGGUGGGCAGGAGGACAGCCGAUGCACUUGGCUUUGGAUCCAUGGUGUUUACAGUUAACCCUGGGUGUCCUUGAGGUGGCCGGCAGCCAGAUGGCAAGACGGCCCUGGAGCCCAGCAGGAAGAACAGGGCUCAGAGGCACUUUCCAAAGCCCUCGGCCGAGGCAGGACAAAUAGAUGUGAGCAGCCAAGGAAACACGAAGGGAAGGCAAGGAGCGAGGGCCCUGCAGAACACUUCCUGCCCCAUGUGCUGGUGCUUGGGCCGUGGCCCCCGCUAGGAACGUUGCUGCCACCUGCAAACAGCCGUGCCAAAGCUUCCAGCCAAGGCCUGUGCCGGUUCCCUUUCAUGCUGUGUUUCUGCUGGAACUAAAAGGGAAGAUUGGUUUUCUGAGGAAAACAAGAGGGUGUUUUUUUUUUUUUUUUUGUAGUCUCCUACAAUGAUAAUUAACCAGCACCCGCUCAGGAAAGCAGAAUUUGUUUAUUGGCUUUGCUAAAUGUAAACAGACACAGGGCCACUUGCAAUGACACGUGGGUGGGAGAUGGGGUCUGAAUGAUCACAGACCAAGAGCCGACCCCGCCUGGCCUGGAAUGGGGCUGACUGAGCGUGGUGCAGCCUCCGUGGGCCUCUUGGGGCCGGAUCCUUAAGUAGAGUUCCAGAGGCUCAAGAGGCUGUUCCUCUCCUUGGAGAAAAGGGUGCACCCUUGGCAUCACUGGGAGCACCCUCUGAUCCAUCACCCCUAGGAGACUUCUGGGGCCCCUGGUGAGCAACUAGGGCAGGCGACGGUUCAAUGAUUCAGUAAACAUGCGUGGAGCUGCAGCUGGCACUGUGAACAAGACACAGACCUAGUUGGCGGUGAGGGGCUCCAAAAGAGAGAGCAGAUGGGGACUGAAUCCUUGGAGGCAGGCGUGAGGUUCACGUUCUGCAGAUGAGAAGAUAGACAGCAUGCCCAAGCUCCCACAUUAUAGUAGCAAUUACUAGACUCAUGCUGAGGUCCUUUGCCUCCAUUGGAGUCCGGUAGCUUUAUAAGGAGCCCCAGUGCAACAACAGACUUACCGUGAGCUAUGUUCCUAGGCUCAGGAAAGUAAGAGAUGAAUAAAAGACUGGAAAGUGUGAGAAGAAUGUGGAGCUGGCAGGAACCAGGGAAGGCUUCUUGGAGGAGGUGGCAUUUCAGCUGACCCUUGAAAGAAGAUGGUGGGAAAAUUAGAUGCCUCCAUUCAUUUGAUCAUUUUCUCAACAACUGUUGUUCUGCUGGAGGCUGAGGGUGUGUCUGUUAAGUGAACAGACAGAUGCUCUGGAGCUGACAUUAUAGUGGGAGUCGCAGACAAUAAACAAAUGAGCGCACACAAUGAAAUGAAUAGUUGAUCUAAAAGCUGUGAAAAAAAAGAGGCGAGACUGGCGAGGGGAGGGGAAUGAAGGCCAUUAGCCUGACCUGUGCUGAGAGCUGAGGGUCGCAGCCCCCUGAGGAUGCGAACAGCCGGUCCUCCUGCUGUCCCUGAGCAGAAGCAUGGUGGGCACAGUUGGUUAGCCUCAGAGGGAGGCCGUCUCCAGGCCGGAAGUGACGCACUUGAGUCUCUUCAGGGCAGCUCCCCAAAAGGUGGGGAAGCGGCUGUUUGCUGUAUCUGCUGAGGAUGAGUGAGUAGAAGUGGGUUCACCCUGACACAGGAGACUCCUGUCGCUGUCCUUAUCAGCAACCAUGGCAAUACCACGACACAGUUGGGGAUGGGUCAGGUGGAAGCCAGGAGCCUGGGACUCUACCUGGGCUUCUACAAGGGUGCAGAGGCCCGAUUGGGCCGUCUUCUGCUGCCUUCCCAGGUACACUAGCAGGGAGCUGAAUCAGAGUGGAGCAGUGGGAAACUCUAACUGGCACUUGUAUGGGAUGCUGGCAUUGCAGAUGGCAACUUAACCCACAGUGCCGCCACGCUGGUCCCUUAAGUAUAAAUUGCUGAUAUGCACUUAAUCCUGCUGCUAAUCAUGCAAGAGAGGCAUUGCUGAUCUCUGUAGACGAGGAAACGGAGGCCUGCUCAGAGCCUGCUGCUGGUGCCUGGAGGUGCUGGAGUCCGCGGGGCACUGGUUGGAGCAGGGUCUGCUCUUGUCCCCGCACUAAGCCGCCAGAUUUCCCUGGGAGAGUUUGGGAGGCUGAAGUGUGCUCCCUGGGAGACGAAGGAAGCUCCUUCUGCAGCUUCUGCCUUGCACAGAGGAGAGGAAGACCCAGUGCCCCACUCAGGAGAUGGGGACUUUUCAGGGUGCUAAAAACUAGUGGAGGGGGCCAGCGUUGUGGUGCAGUGGGUAAAGCUGCCACCUGCCACUCCGGCAUCCCACAAGGGCGCCGGUUUGAGUCUUGGCCGCUCCACUUUUUUUUUUUUUUUUUUUUUUUUUUUUUUUUUGACAGGCAGAGUUAGACAGUGAGAGACAGAGAGAGACAGAGAGAAAGGUCUUCCUUUGCCGUUGGUUCACCCCACAAGUGGCUGCUACGGCCGGCGCAUUGUGGCUAGCGUACUGCGCUGAUCCGAAGCCAGGAGCCAGGUGCUUUCUCCUGGUCUCCCAUGCGGGUGCAGAGCCCAAGGACCGGGGCCAUCCUCCACUGCCUUCCUGGGCCACAGCAGAGAGCUGGACUGGAAGAGGAGCAACUGGGACAGAAUCCGGCGCCCCGACCGGGACUAGAACCUGGGGUGUCGGCGCCACAGGCGGAGGAUUAGCCUAGUGAGCCACAGCGCCGGCCUGCUCCACUUUUAAUCCUGCUGCCUGCCAAUGGCCUGGGAAAAGCAGCAGAAGAUGGUCCAAGUGUUUGGGCCCCUGCACCCACGUGGGAGGCCCAGAUGAAGCUCCUAGCUCCUGGCUCUUUACUUCAGCCUGGUCCAGCCCUAAUGGUGUGGCAGUCUGGGAAGGAGUGAACCAGCAGAUGGAAGAUCCCCCCCCCACUUCCUCUCUGUAACUCUUUAAAACAAAACCAGCAGGGUUUGUGGUCUCUUCUCCGCCCCCCCCCCCCAAAUGUAAGGAAGAGGGGAAAUGGUACAUCUGCAUAUUCUGUGAAUAUCCAACGCGGAUGUCUCCGAAAACUUUUGGAAAUCUCAUGCUAUCUCCUUCGCUGGAGAGCUGGUCCCAGGUGCCCUUGUUGCUAGCAUCCUAGUCUGGGUGCCCAUGGCACCUGCCCCGUGCCACAGCCAGCACAGAGCUUCAGGGCUGGUCGCCACAGCUUUGGAAUCGAGGAAGGGAGCCCCCCUCGCCGGGUGGGGUUCUGACAGGCCUUGAAGUGAUCUGGGACCGCUGCAGGAGAUGGCGUAGGCAGGGGAGGCGGCCUCCUGGGGAGUGUGGACCCCAGGUGUCAAAGGCGUGCCCCGCCCCCUCCCAGAGGAAGGCAUCCUAGGCGCCAGGUGCCGACCUCUCUCCCCCUUUGCCCCUCUAGUGGCCACUCUGUGCUGUGGCUGUUGGGCUCACGGUGCCCAGAGAGGUGAAGGGGAGCAGUGUACCACACGUGAGCCCAAACACGUGCUCUUUUCUCAGCCCCCCCACCCCCGCCGGCCUGUUGCUCUCCUGCCUCCAGGAACUGCUGAGCCAAAGCCCCUUGCCUCCCCUCUCCCCACGCCCACAGACGCCUGUCUCAAGCCAGCAAAGGGCGUUGUGCUGAUUAAUAAAACAUUUUCCUGCAGCCUGGCUGGCAGGCUCAGGGUCUGGGCAGGGCUUAGAGAGAGAUGCUGAAGCGAGCGUUGUGCCCCCUCCUCUGCCCCCACCCCCACACACCAUGCUCGACUUUCUCAAUAUUUCCAUGUAAGGUCAGCUUCUCCUCGGAGGCACACAGGCUGCUGUGUCCCCGCUCUGAGCUGGGUGCUUUGUGCCUGGGCUGGCUUACGUGUGCUGACCUAGUGCUUUGCUGGAGUAGGGCCAGGAAGGACCCCUGGAUUGGGGGUCAGGAGAGCUGGGUGUGGGGCCCGCUUUCACAGGCUGCGUGGCCUCAGGCAGGCCACUGCCUCUCUCUGGUCCUCGGUAGCCUUAGCUGAAUGAUCAGGGAUUGGGCUGAGUGAGCUCCUGCCUCCUAGCCAGUCGCGCAAGCCUUGUGUCUCUGGCUCUUCCAGGGAAAGGAGGUCAUUAGCCUAGUAGCCUGGAUACUCUGCAGCCUAGAGAACCAGCCACGGAUGGUAGGGCGCCGGGGACCUUCCCAUUCCCGUUUCCUCUUCUCCCCAAAGACAGAAGUUAAAAGAGUCCUUGGCCAAAGCGGCCGUCGGAAACGCGGGUCCGUGGAGAGGCCCCUGGAGGUGCUGCUCGCAGGAACCUCCGGAGGUCUUCAGGGUACUUGAUGGGGACCCGGGAAUCCAGAGCAGGUCAGCAACCUCCGGCCCCGCAGGGCUGGGGCCCUGUGCUGAGAGACGCCAGGGCACUGCGAAUUCGGCUCUCUGGGCCCCUCUGGCUGGGCCAGGUGAGAGGGAAGCAUAAGAUAUCAUCAGCCCUAGAGUUGGUGCUGUGGCUCAGUGGGUUAAGCUACCACCUGCUACGCCGGCAUCCCAUAGGGCACCAGUUCAAAUUCUGGCUGCUCUACUUCUGAUCCAGCUCCCUGCUAACAUACCCAGGAAAGCAGCAGAAGAUGGCCCAAGUGCUUGGACUCCUGCACCCACGUGGGAGGCUUGGAUAGAAUUCCAGGCUCCUGGUUUUGGCCUGGCCCAACCCCAGCCAUUGUGACCAUUUGGGGAGUGAACCAGCAGAUGGAAGUCUCUCUCUCUCUCGCUCUCGCUGUUGCUCUCUCUCUCUCUCUCUCUGUAAUUCUACCCUUCAAAUAAAAUAAAUGUUGAAAAUAAGAAAGAUGCUGGUCCAGGGACCAAGAAGAGUCUUUGAGGAUGAGGGCAGGGAUGGAUGUCAGCCUGGUGGAGUCUGAAUUUACUCUGGUUUGCUGUCCCCCUUGGGACUGGUCCCCUUCAGCUGUCUCCCCAGCAGAUGGCAACGGGUCUGCCUGAGCUUUUCUGGGGGUGAGGGCCGUACCCGCCUUGAUGCAGUCUGUUCUGUUGCUGGAGAGGCUUGGCGAUCACACCCCUCCCCUUUGUAUCGGACCCAGGUCCACUUCCACAAGGACGAGGGCUUUGAGAACCCGGCAGGUACUGCUAGGAUGUGGCUCUGGAAGGCAGGGAUUGUUACAAUCAGAGAAGUCCCUGGUGGACUCAGUGUCACGAACAUUUCCAGGGUAUCUGUCCUGGCUCUGACUUAGCGCAACCCAUGCACAGCCCUGGCAGAUCCAAGCCCAUCGCGGGGUGGAGCCACCACCAGGAGAACAGUGGGGACCUGUGUGAGAUGGACGGGUGGGCUCUGGGACUGCAUGGAGCCCUCACCCAUGCUGAUGCUUCCAUCAGGAGCUGGCUUCCUCCAAGCCCCACCCAUCACCAAUUUACAUUUCUCCCCUGUUGUCCUGUUGGUCUGUAAAUGGCCCUUCCCUUCUCCAUCCCCAUUAUUUUAUUACCUGAGUUCCCCACAGGAGUGCAGGGGGAUCUGUAGAUUGCUAUUAGCAUCCAUGUGGGCAGCCUGGCUUGCAUUACCUUGAAUUAUGUGAAUGAAACCAACCAUUAAAUGAUCACAGAGGACCGGGGAGAGGGUAGACGUGUAGGCUCUCUCAGGCUGAGAGUCUCCCUGGCUUUCUUUCUAAGAGGCAGAGGGGAUGAGGACCAAAGGAGCCGUGGGAUGGUGCCUGGGAAGGGUCAGACGAGAGAGUUUCUCCUGGGGAGGCCCUCUCGCCGGCUCAGCCUCUGGAAGCUGGAGUCCACAGCCCCAGCCCGCACAGGCAGCCCUGCUCCUCAGUCAGGGCCUCCAGUCCGCACCCCAGCUCCUUACAGAAUGUUUGGCUCUGGGGCUACCCACUGGCCUGUCGCCGCCUCCUGGUGGUCUUGCAGGCUCUCUCCAGAGUGAGAAGCACCUGUAUGGGUCAGUCACACUGAAGGACAAAACUGUGAGACAGACAGGAGUGGGCAGUGAGUCAAGUGCAAGGUUUGUGUAUUUCAUGGCAAACAGUGAGGUGGGGAUGAGUCCAGACAGGAUGGGGUCCGUAACUCUGGGAUGCUACCUGUCCAGACAGGGCGGGCUCAGGGGAAUGGUCAGAUCUGCCCCUCCUGGAGGAAUCACAGAAGAGGCAGGACUUGGAGGAGUAUGCAAAUCACAGAACAUUGUGGGUAGGAAGGGACAGUGCUGUGGGGAUAAGGUGCAGGAGGGACUUAGAACAGGCCCUGUGCUCGUGUGUGUGUGUGUGUGUGUGUGUCCGAGUGUGAGUGUGUGAGACAGCCUGGGGAGGGGGAGCCUCAGGUCACCUGGGCCGUUGUUGACACUGAAGAACUUCUAGGUACUUAUUCUCUGUUUGCUACCACCAGGCCCUUCGCUCUUGGGAGAUUUGUGUGCUGAGAGGUGACCCUGACCCAGGGCAGUGUCUUCUGCCCCUUAGAUAGGCCCUCACCCAUCCGCUCCUUUUUCCAGAAAGUGACCUGGUGGGAGAAUCCAGGCAGGAUUGCUGGGGAAUCUUUCCCAAACCAGAGCAAUCUAGCAAUUCUUGGAUCAAUCCUGUUUGCACACACAUACACACAUACCUGCAUGCAUGCAUGCACACCACACAUGUGCACACCCAUACACAAUAUACACCACACACAUGAACACAUACCCACAUGCAUACACACACCACACCAUGCACACACACAUGAAUGUACACCACACACAUGCACACACAGACACAUACGUACAUGCACGGCACCACACAUGUGCAUGCACACACAUCAUACAUGUGCAUGCAUGUAUAUAGUGCACACCACACAUAUGCAUGCACACACAUAUACACAGCACACAGGCGUACACACACAUUGUUGGGGUGGGGGCAGGGAGCAACAAAAUUUCCUGCUGCAGGCGCCCACUUGAGUCUGCUGUUGCCCGUUUCCAAUAUUCAUUCAGCAAACAUUCCUGGUGUGCUGACCGUGGUCCCAGCCCCCUAGCGUGAGGAGCAGCUCCCCAGGUGUGGUUUGGAGCAGGACGCCUCCAGUGGGGCUCCCUGGAGAGUGAAAGGCUUCAGUCUAGGGGCUGGGGAGGAAGCUGAAGGGCGCAGCCGUCCCAGCAGCCCAGCCUGCAGGAACCCUCUGCCUCGGCAGGGAGGAUCAGAUCCCCGCCUUUUUCUGACUCUGGAAGAGGGAGAGAGCCUGUUCCGCUGUCUGUGCCCUUCUUGUGUUUACCUCCAAGUGCAGCUAGAAUUUUUAAAACACAAACUUUGUGUUGCAAAGAGGCACCCUCUGUAUUGUGCCACCCUCCCCUGUUUCAAGUUUACUGAUAUUUUCCCUUUGAGCUCCACAGUGUGGUACCCUGGCUGCACCUUUGACCUUGCUCUGUGGCCUGGGGCUGGCCUUGAGGCAGAUGGUCACCUACCAGGUGCUCUGCCUACAAGACCACCUGGGGAACCGUGGGGCUCUGCAUCUGUCUGCCUGCCUGGAGCCCAUUCUAGUGCACCUGUGCUCUGGCCACAGAUUGGGGAGCUCUGCCUUGGCAUCUUGGGUUUGGGCUGCCCAGGAGCCACCCCUACUCACCUGCUGCUCUCACAGUCCCAUCUGGGCCCUCCUCUGUGAAGUCUGCUUUAGUCCAGCACCACGUGCCAACCCAGGGAAGACAGAAGGAUCAGAGCCUGGUACUGGGGCCCAGGAGGAGGCUUGGCCCUUCUUCCUGCCCUGCCUUGCCCCAGCCGGGAGCCAGGCUACCAUGCAGCUAUGUAAGUGUCUGUUUCACUGCUUCUGCUGAGUUGCAAUAGAGUUAUAACCAGGAGGCAAUUCAGAGACCCUGGCCAGUGGUUGGGAUUAAGGAGUGGGAUAAAGGAUGCCUCUCCUCUUCCUUUCUGUGGAGAACUGAUUCCCUCUGAAUGCCGAGGGAGGCAGAGAAGCUGAGGCCUUGCUUAAGCAGGAAACCUCGGGAAAGGGAGGAAGUCCCUGUGUGUGUGGGUGCAGCGACAGGAGAGGCCAUCUGGCUGGAAGCAGUGCUCCCUGGCAGGAAGUUUUUCCUGAGGUCUGUCUGCCAUCCCUCCCGGCGGCCUCAGUUCCCUGCCUCAGGUCGGCUCUCACUGGAGCUGGAGAUGUGCUGGUCAGCCCCCUCUCCUCCACGUGAGAACUCUGACACUUGGGGCUUUGGCCAGGCUGUUUAUCUGAGUAGCAGUGGUAGGAAAGCCCCCAUAGAGCCCCCUAGUGCUCUCAAAUGGGGUUAUUCUCCCCACUUUACAGAUGAGCAGACUGAGGCACAGUGAGGGUGAGGAACUCGGCGAAGGUCACAUCACUACUCAGCAUCAGGAAAGGGCUUCAAGGUCAAGCUCUGGCUGCAGAAUCCCCUGCACCACAGCACUAGAUGGACCCCUCUGUUCACUACACUCCUUCGGACUCAGUUUCCCACAGCUUCUUCACUUCCUCCGUGGGGCUCCGAGUCAGUUAGCUUUUACCGCGUAACAGAUGACUCCGACAGCCAAAGAUGCAAAGCAUAAACAUUGGUCAUUUCCCACGAUUCUGCAGGCUGGCGUGGCCUGGGCGGUCGGGGCUGGCUCGGCGGGCCCUGCAGCACGCUGUGACCAGCAGGGGUGGCCUCACUCGCACAUCUGUGGAUGGGCCUGCCCUGGGGCAGCACAGGUGGAUGGCCUGGCGGUCGUCCCUCAUCGUCCAGCAGGCAAGCACAGACCCUGUCAAUAGUGGCAGGUGCCGGGUUUGAGGGCACAGCAGGAGGCGUGGUCAGAACCUAAUGUGCAAGUGCUCUCCGAGCCUCUGCUCAGGUCAUAUUUGCUAAUGUCCCAAUCACUGCCGGAAUCACACGGCCAGCCUCAGAUUCAGAGCGGAGAGGAAGGGACUCCGGCUUUUGCUGGAAGGAGCUGCCACAUCCCAUUGCGUGGGAAUACAAAAAGGACGGAAAUAAUCGGGGGUGGAUUUUGCAACCUCCCCCAGGCUCUUCACCGUGAACCACAUGGACUGAAUUGCAUAGUGGGAAAUGGUAGGGGGGUGUCCCUCAGCCUGGGGAAAAGUCCAAGCAGCUCCCACCAACGUCUUGCGUGUGGGAUGGAAUGCAAUGGAGUGGCCGUUUGGGUCAGGCUUGGGGCAGGCAGUGAACCGGCAGAGAAUGGGUUUUCUUCUCUGGCACACUACCUUCCUCCCAUCCCUAUGUUUCUACCACUUGCCCCAGGACAAAGGGGACGAAGCCACAGGCUCGUUCACUGCCGUGAUUGCGGUCGGAGCCUGUGCAGAGUACCCCAGGCCUGGCUCCUCCCAGGGGCCCCUGCUGUGGAGUGGGGGUGAAUCAGGGCCCGGGAUUCUGUGGGCAGACACACCUGUGUUCCCUUGGCAGCUCUGCCACUUCCCUGCAGUGGAACCACGCGGAAGUCCAUCUGGGACCCUCAGUUUCUCCUUUGGCAGUGGGCAUGCACGAUGAUGUUGUCAUAAAGUGCCUAGGCCAGGACCUGGAGCGUGUGAGCACCCAGUAUUAGCCAUCCUUGGGCCUUGGCCGAGCUCUGCUGCCCUGGUGCAUGGGCGGCAAUGGCCAGAUGACAGAGCCGUCCCUGGUAAAUAACUCUUGGCUCACCCAGGAUCACCAGAUGGUGUGCCAGCAACUUGGGCCAGGGAAGCACGGGGCAGAAGCUGCAGGGGGAGCAGAAGUGGGACUGGAGCCGCCCAAGGGCUGGGCUCUGUGGGCAUUGCUCAGCUAGGCACACAAGAAUCUAGCGAGGCUGUUGUCUUCCACAUGCAGAAGCUGGGAUGACGGCACCAGUGUCAGCCUGGGACCCCCAUCUUCUCUUCUCAGGGCCUCCUGCAGGCCCCCCUAGAAUACAGAACAGUCCCCCUCCGGCUCCCAUUUCACAUCCCAUCUCGAGAUGCCCAUCUUUGCAUACGGGAGGGCAUGAGAGGGUGUUCCUACUGUAGGUGAGGAAGGAGGUAGAGAGGGAGGGGCUUGGUAAAUGCUGGCAGCCGCCAUGGGAGCAAGCUGUGACCCCUGCACUAAGCGGAAGUCGACCUUGGCUUUCAGACACCAAGAAAAAGGAAGGAUAGUCCCCCCCCCACCACCCAGCAUCUACCCUUCCUCUCAUGGAGCUGCCCAGGGUAUAUCAGGAACGAGUUGGUCAGGAAAUUGGACACAUUCAACAAAGGCCAGCAAACGCCACACCACGCAGGUCUGGCGCGGGCGAGGAGGCUGCAGGGGCACGGUGGCCUCACUGGCGCCGGUGCUUGCUCUCUGAGGGACAGCUGAGGAUGUCCAGCGCAUAUGUGAUGAGCGCAGGUGGGCAGGCCCCUGUGUGGCCAGCCGGAAUCCUGGCUGCUGGGCCAGGCAGGAGCAAAGUGGGCCAAACAGAGAGAGCUUUGCCCCUGAACUGUGCCUCCCUCCUCCUGGACAGGAGCCCGGGCAAGGCCACCCCUGGCUGGGCUUCUCCCCACGGCUGUGGCAGGGAUGCCAGACGGCACGACUGCCCAAAGCAGGGCUUUGGUGGUAUGGAAAGUGGUGUUCAGAUGCGGCUCCUGGCUGCUCCCCAGCGCUGGGCUGCCCUCAGGCUCCUCCUUAGGAACAGAACUAUGGAAACAGCCAGCUCUGCUUUACUUCCCCCUACCCCCACCGCAGGACUGAAGCUCAUUCCCAUCUUAGCAGGAGACCAGGUUAGAGAGAAAACAUCCUCCCAGCCCCCGGCCCCCCAGAGUGAGGCAGGUAUGCCUCCAUCCAGCUCCUCUGCGUCUCAGCCUGGGUAUUCAACCUGAGCUCCCCACUCCCAUUCCGCCUCUGUCCCCCAGUUUUCCAAGGAUCCUCCCUGGCCACUUUCUGGGUUGGUGGCAGGUGCUACAGAGGCUGUGAUCUUGGGAACCCCGCUGGGUCUGGCCCUUGCCGUGGGGAGGGGAGGGGAAGAGAGGGAGGGCCCCCAGCCCUGGCUGCUAGCGUCCCCUACCCCCAGGGGGCCACCCUGUUUCCUGGUUUGGAGGGUGACUGAGGGCUGUGAGCCGUCCUCAGUGUUGCUAAGUUGCUAAGGCUCCUUGAGUAAUCACGGCAAAGGUGGCUGAGGGUUUUGUGGAGUGCAGAGGGAGCGGGCAAGCUUUCGAAGGUCUUGGGGAAGCAGGGGCCGAGCUCCCGCCCCCUGCUGCGUCGCUGCGACACGCAGAGGCAGUAGCAAUGAGCCCAGCCUGGCGCCCAGGCUGUUUGAGCACGUGGACAGAGUCCAGCUCUUGGAAUCUCAGAACAGUUCCCUUGCUGGCCGCCGUGCAGCCUGGCUUGCUCUGGAAGUGUGUGUGUGUGUGUGUGUGUGCGCGCGCGCAUGUGUGUGUGUCUCCCUUCUCCUGUAUGGAUCUGUCACCGGGUGAUAAAAUAGAACAUGAUGAGUGUCAUUCUAAAGUAAUUACCAGCAAGAUGCAUAAUGGCAGAGCUGGAGAACACGGCAUAUGGCCUCCGGCAGCCUCCGUGUGACAACUAAUCGGGAGAUUUUGUUCCCCCUCAGCACCACCACCUAUCCCGGCCACCGCCCUGCAAACCAGCUCCGGCGUCCUGGGGAGGAAAAGAUAACCAACGCCCCUGCUCCCGUACCUUCCAGGAGGACGCUGGGGCCCCUGGUGGAGAGGCGGGGCUGUCGAGUGAUGCUCUCUGCCAGGACGGAUGUUCAAUGGGGGGGACCCAGCAGCUGCAGAGCGGGGAGAGACGGGAGCAGCGGAGCAGCCCGCCCAAGCCUGGAGAGCCUUGGGGGAGUGGAGGCUGCAGCGAAGUGUUUUCAUUUGAUUUCAUCAGCUCAGACUCUGCUUAGCGUCUCUGUCGUCCCACUCCCGCAGCUUCCGGCUCCCGGCUCCCGGGCAGCUCCUCUGCCCUGCUCAGACGUCAGGGAGCGAAGCGAAGCUCCCAGGGCCUCCACUCUGCUGUCUGUCAGGGACCAACUUCUCCAGCUCUUCCCGGAGGACGGCUCUGCUUCUGAGCACUGAGGCUCUCUCCUACCCUGGCGUUGGGGACCAGGGCUGUUUUCUGGAGUAGAUGAAUGGGGGGACCUGCAGAAGUGAGCCCAGCCUGGUCAGGACAGGCACCCUUUAUGUAAAAGUUAAAUCAGGACCUUCCGUCUCUCACACUUAGGGUGAAAACACCUCUUUGCUGCACCCUACCCUGGCUGUGUGUGUGUGCGUGUGUGCGUGUGCGUGUGCGCGUGCACAUGCCUCUGUCUCAGCAUGUGUAUGUCAGGUGGGUUGGGGACAGAUUGUCUGUAGGCUGCCAGGUCACCCAGCACAGUGCCCAGGGGCCUACAGGUUUUACCCAUGUCUUCUGGAGGCCUGCCAGUGACCCUGUUAUGCCCUGAUUGGCAGGACAGACACUAGGCAGUCUGCCCUUUGCAGGAUCCCGCUCCACCCCCUUCCGCAAGUUGGCCCUCAGCUGGGAGAGUCCUUCCCUACCCCCUCCACUGACGUGCUCCCCUGGGCGUUGGCAGACUUGCUUUGUAAAGACCCAGAGAGUGAACGGUUUAGGCGUCAGGGGCCGUAGAUUCUCUGCCGUUGUGGCACAGAAUCAACCACGGACAACAGGUCAACGAAUGAGCCUGCUGCUUACAACAACUGGAGGUGGGACAGAGCUGGCCAAGGGCACAGCUGUAGAUGCCCUCCUUCGAGGCCACAGCAGCAUCUUGCUUUAAAAUCAAAGUGGAGUGAGGCUCCUCCAUGCUCCCUUCCUGGCACAUGCACGCAUGGGCUUUUUUUUUUUUUUUAACCUGGCAUCACACCCUUGUAGAACAUGGUACUGAAUGAACUUUAAAGGCACUUUCACUUGACUCACUUAUAUAGGGGGAAAAUUGAGGCCUUCAGCAGGGAAGCUAUUGGCCUAGGCCCACACUGCUGAUCGGAGGCAGAGGUGGGAUCUUACCAAGCCUGGCAACUUUAGGGCAGACCCCUUCUCUCUGCCACUUUGCCUUGUGCCCAGCCAUUCUUGUCCCUGGGGUAGACAGAGAGAUACAGAACCAACCACCAAGAUGUCACAGGUUGGGCUACGGUGUGUGUCUGUGUGUGGUUGUGUGCAUGUGUGUGGUGUUAGGGAGCUCUAAGGAACUGGAGGGUUUCCCCCAAGAAAGGGAAUUGCCCCCUCCCAUUGUGGUCCUGGGCCUUGUAGGCCCCAGGCCCCUGCUCUCAUUCUCUCGUAGACGCGGCAUUGAGGACAGCAAAGCAAGACGGUAACACUUCUGGUAAGGAAGAGAAAGAGCAAGGGACCCCAGUUGCAGGCUGGCUUCUUCCCCAGACUUCUGAACAAGACCAUCAUUUGCCCAGCCUGUUUUCCCUAUUAGUCUAACAGGGAGCUGUCCAGGCACAGUUGGGAGAAUAGGCAUUUUGUCCUCAUUGGCGGAGAGAGGGAAAGCUCGGGUCCUGAGUGGGCCUGAGAGGAGAGGCCGGUGCUUGGUCUCUGUGGAGCUAACCUUGGAGUGACUUGUGGGGCUGGGGGAGGGUUGGGAGAAGGAGCUGAACCCCAGCCUGGUGCUCAGCUGCACCUGACCUUGAGAUGAGGAACAUGGCCUAUCAGGAAGAGAAAAAGUGGGCCUCGAGAGCCCCGGCCAGGCCUGGAAGGGCUCCCGGAGGGUGCUGAGCUCACAGCCCAGACCCUCCAAUCAAUAGGGCAUGGCUAUUUUUAGCAUCAGCCGGAGAGAAACUUAAUUAUGAUCAAAAGGAGCUAUUUAAUACCGUGCUUGCCGAAGACGCAACCUCUUGUCAGUGGAAAUUAAUCAGCGGCUGCUGUGGGCUCCUGCCCCCUCGGGCUCCGGAACUGGGGAGGCGCCCGGCAGGAGUGCUGAUGACGCGGGCGCCCUCUGCAAGGCGCGCGGUGGGCAGUGGGCUCCCCAGGGUGGCAGGGAGGAGAAGGCUGCACCAGGGGCUCCUGGCUCAGCUCAAGCCCCGCCUCUCCCUGGAGCGAGCCCUGGCUGUUCCACCCUCCCGCGUCGCCCAGCACCUGCAGUGUGUCCCUCGUGCUCCCUGCUCUGGCUGGGGCUCCGCAUGCCACUUGCUGGCUGGGUGGCUUGAAGCCUCACUUUGCUUAUCUGUAAAUUAGGGACAGUAACCGCACACUCCUUCCGGGAUGGUUGUGAGGAUUGAAAUGAGCUGCCUGGCGCGUGGCGAGCCCCCCAUCCUGCAGACCGCUGUUACAAGGGGGUCUGCAACAAGGUCUUGGGAAAUGCACCUUAGGAGGAAACGAUGCAUGGAUGUUUCCUUGAAUUCCAUUUCCUGUAAACUGUUUGGAGUCCCCUCGUGCCCCUGCCGCCACCACCAUUCCCUGUGUGUCACCUCUGUCUGCCCUCAGACCUCACGUUUCUCUCACUUGGGGUGACCCCUCAGCGCCUAGCACAUGCUGCUGUGAACAGGGUGUGCAAUAAACAUUGGUCCUUUAGUCUCUGAUUCAAAAGCUGAAAGACUGAUGAUGUCACUGAUUCAUUUAUUAAUUUUUUUCUAAAAGCCCUCUGUUAAGCCCUCAUGUGUCAGGUGGUGAACCAGGCAGACAUUGAAGGUACAGAAACCAUUCAGUGUAGGUGAACUAUGUGCCAAGCUGCUCCCUGCCUGGUGAUGAGUGACACGUGUGUAAGUGGACCAUUAUGAUGCCACAUGAGAGCAGUAAUCCAUGUGUGGCCAAGGUGAACAGAGGCACACAGGCACCAAGGAUGGUGACAAAUGCCGCCAGAGACUUCCUGGAGGAGGUGGUAUUUAGAGUAGCACUUGGAUGAAGACUGCCAGAGCUGAGGGCAAUACAGAGUUGGAGGAAGAGUGAUGAGCACAUGCAGAGAAAGGCCUGGGGUUGUGAAGCAGAGGAAGAGGGAGCAAACAGGAUCCGUUCAUGACCGCAGUCCCUCCCGGCUUGUCUCGAAGCUGAAGGAAGGAGGCACCCUGGCUGGGGAGGGGGCCUCAGUUGUUCCAUCUGCUCCAGGCUCCAGGCUCCGGGCUCAGAGCACCGCUUUGACAGGUAGCAAGGCCCAAGCAGGGGGUGGGUGAGGCAGCUGUGGGACCCCCACCACCUCUCGUUAUCAGCCAGCUUUUGCUGGGGCCCCCAGUUGUCCCUGUCUUUCUGAUGCUGGGGGCUGGGGCGAGGGUGCACUUGCUCAGAGCUGAGAAGCAGCUGUCACUGCACAGGCACGAAGGCUGGGAGGUGCAUGUCCACGGCUCUCUGUCAGCUCCUUUACUGGAAGAUGGACGGGCACUGCUCUGCAGAGCCAUGGAUGAUAAUGGUAGCCCCCCAGGAGGCACCAAGGUGGGCUUCUCACGAGGUGCUGGAAUGACUUCCCUGAUGGUGCCAGUCACCUUCCAGUGCGGGGAAUGAAGCGGCUGGGAGUGUCAGCCUCGGGAAACCACUUGGGUGCACUCAGCAGCUGAGACCCAAGGAGCUGGCCUGGCUGCCCACGCACCAGAGGUGGGAUGAGGGGGGCAAGGCCCCCAGGGUCGGGUUCUGGUUCCCCUCAGGGGUCCCAGCUUGCUACUGGAAUUAUUACACCAGGUGCUUGCAACUGAUUUUCAAUUUGCAAAGCAAAACGAAUUUGCAUUAAUCAGAAAGAUCCACAGGAAAGACUGUUUAGGUUUUCAUGCAGCUGCCAGAGCCAUUUGGAUUCCAAGCGUGCAGGAGGCUCUGCUACCCUGAUGCCAUCAUGGGCUCGUUAUCUCUCCAAGGACCCGGUCACGUCUGCAGGCAGAGACUUCCUCCCUGGUCUCAGGUGGCCUCCUCCCCCUGAACACUGGAAGACUCGACAGGGAAGUUGGGAUGGAGGCCCUGUUGCAUCCCAAGUGGCACUGCUCCCUGUAAGGGCAGUGUCAGGAAUGUGUCUUGUCUACAUGGGACUUACUGGAGGCCAGGACACUGUGACCCACACUCAGUUCCUCUCUUGGGCACUUGGUCCCACAGUGACUUUUUUUUUUUUUUUUUUUUUUAUAAGAUUCAUUUUAUUUCUUUGAAAGGCAGAGUUACAGAGAGAGAGGGAGAGACAGAGAGAAAGAGAGAUCUUCCAUCUGGUGAUUCAGUCUCCAGAUGACUGCAACAGCCAGUGCUGGGCCAGGCCAAAGCAUAGGUUCCACUGGGAGUUGAUCACCUAGAGGUGCGGAAGCAGAAGUUGUGUCCAGAGUGGUACGUUGCCAUAUGAAAAAAUGGCAGUAGCGUUAGAGAGUGGGAAGUGACAGGCAUGGCGGUUUUUCCAUGCAGUGGGUAGGGAAGGCCCCUUUGGGAGGUGAUCAGCGAGCAACUCACAGGUCAAGGAAGAGGAAAUUCCAGAUAGAGGGAGCAGAAGGGCCAGUGGGAGCAGACCUGGGAUGUCUGAGGACCAUCAGGAAGGGAAGGGGUCCCUGGGAGGCCACCGUAGGCCCCGGGGUCUGUCCCAGCCCUCCUGCUGUGAUGUUCCUGCCUUACUUUUCUGCUGAGCUUGUGCCCAGGGCUAAGGCUGCGUCAUCAUUGGUAUCUGUGUCUCUAAUGCCCAGUACAGUGCCUGGCGGACAGUCAGAGACCCUGUGGCCACCUCGGGUGAAUGAAAGGAGGAAGAUGAGGGAGGGGAGGAGGAAGAGCAGGAAGGACAAAGAGAGCAGGCAUGAGUGUGAGGAGCAGCAUAUUGCAUCCUGGGAAGCCCACCCUGGGGUUCUGUCCCUUCUCCCACAGGGGACGCAGUGGAUGACCCUGCCCUUUAAUGGACUCAGCCACAUAGAAUUCCUUCUCUUGGUAAUUUGAAGCACAAGGAAGGAGGUGUGCCCAAUCGGGAGCAGUUUCGGCUCUUCUGUACCUGCAGGUAGGCACGCCAGCUCAGGGGAAGUCAGAGUCAGCAGAUGGUGUGCUUGGGGGCAGCCCUGCCCAGCCUCCUGGCCUGUGUGUCCCCCCUGCCCCCAGUGCACAGCUGCCACAUCUCGUUGGUCCUUCCUGAUCUCUGCAGAGGGGACACUCUUGGAAGGGUCAGUAGCUGACCAUGGGAAGUGGGGAGGGCCCUGCUGUCAGGCCCACACUCAGGUCACAUGACCCGAGAGAUGAGAGGUGCUAUCUUAGAAUGGAGAAUGUUCCAGACUCUCAUGGAAAUGCUGUUGGAAGCCGGCGCCGCGGCUCACUAGGCUAAUCCUCCACCUUGUGGCGCCGGCACACCGGGUUCUAGUCCCAGUCGGGGCACCGGAUUCUGUCCCGGUUGCCCCUCUUCCAAGCCAGCUCUCUGCUGUGGCCAGGGAGUGCAGUGGAGGAUGGCCCAAGUGCUUGGGCCCAGCACCCCAUGGGAGACCAGGAGAAGCACCUGGCUCCCGGCUUCGGAUCAGCGCGGUGCGCCGGCCGCAGCGCGCCGGCUGCAGCGGCCAUUGGAGGGUGAACCAACGGCAAAGGAAGACCUUUCUCUCUGUCUCUCUCUCUCACUGUCCACUCUGCCUGUCAAAAAAAAAAAAAAGAAA